rnacentral:misc_RNA from 1 species
AACGCACAUUGCACCUCUUGGUAAUCCUUGAGGUAUACCUGUUCGAGCGCCGUUUGUGUUCUAAGGCUUCGCCUUGCGUUGAGGUCUCCCGGCGAGGGAUUCCUCGAAACACAUCGGCGCCCGCGACGGCUUCGAAACGCAGAGAAAUGCGGCGAGAAGCCCGAGCGGGCGGCCAGUCUCCGAAAACAUGGCCUCGGAUCAGGUAGGGAUACCCGCUGAACUUAA